GACGGAGGGUGCAAGUGUUAUCCGGAAUCACUGGGCGUAAAGCGUCUGUAGGCGGUCAAGUAAGUCAACUGUUAAAUCUUGAGGCUCAACCUCAAAAUCGCAGUCGAAACUAUUAGACUAGAGUAUAGUAGGGGUAAAGGGAAUUUCCAGUGGAGCGGUGAAAUGCGUAGAGAUUGGAAAGAACACCGAUGGCGAAGGCACUCUGCUGGACCAUAACUGACACUCAGGGACGAAAGCUAGGGGAGCGAAUGGG
rnacentral:rRNA from 1 species